AGGGUGUUUGCGUGCACGUCCGACGUAACCUGUUCUACAUUUUAAUGGCAACUGCGCCGAGGAAGUGACUUUUACCCGUCCGGCCCUGUUAGCGGUGCACGAGCGUGUUACUGCUGCCUUGUCUCUGAUUUUUACCAGAGCUUCCGCCCAUCUGGGAAGACUUUCUGCGCAUGGGAAACUUGGAAGUUCAGAGGUCGCCGAUGUCUGAGGGAAGUUCCGACUCGCGAGAUCGCGAUCACUGACGCAAUAAGACGAUUGAAAAGAAGACGUCGUUUCAUGUCGCGCGGCGGCGCCAUCAUCAGGUCCAGUUCUACGUGUUCAAAGGCUGCAAGACGAGUGUCAGGGUCCUGUGUGGGAGCUGUGCGAGACCACGCCGGAUUGGACGCUUCCAUUAAACAACCCACCCAGUGGCGGUAGAACACGGAGAGCUGCCGCCGCUCGGAGCCGGCUGACCGGAUGACGCGCCACUCGCGCGGCGUGAACUGGCGAGUCAUGAUGCGGAAAAAGUCGGGGACGGUGCUGCUACCUGAAAGGAGAAGGAAGGAAGGAAGGAUGGUGACAGUACAACAGUGACACCCGGUGACCACUUUUGAAGACACAAGUGCACUACCCGACAUCGGGCUGGGUAAUCUGGUCAGGGUUCUUCCGGAAGGUGCCAAAACCCAAGGCCAGAUCCGGCCCGCUCAAGCUAAUAAAG